GGACGUAAAGUGGAGCUCCGGUUAGGGUUAGGAUUAGGGUUAAGGUUAGGGUUUAUUCGCUGUAACACAGUCCAGCAGUCCACAGUCCAACGAGUAGAGAUCACGUGUUUCCUGUGGAGGUGACGUAUUUCCGGUGGAGCUCCACUCUACAGGUGUCUGCAGCUGGACCGUUCUCUCCAGAGCGACUCUCUGCUUUUCGAGUCUCCAUUUUCUCCAGUAAUAUGAAUAAGAUUCUGGAGUAAUAGGAAGAUAUUUUGCAUUGCAAGAUCAGCUGAGGUAGGAAUACGACAAAAAUCCGCAGGGAAAAAGGAGCGUGGUCACAAAUGUAAUACGAUCCACAAAUAGACGAAGCCCCAGCAGGAGUCAUCUGGUCUCAAUCGGCACAAAAAUGAAGCGAGCUGCUUCUGAAAUGAGCCCCCCUGUGGGGUGUAAAACAAAGAGAACUGAGAGUGUCCUGAUGGAGAGAGCAGGCUCACCUGUACCCAGCUGUGUUUCCAUGAAGAGUGACAGGUCAAUGACCCAACCAAUCACCUUCAGAGAGGGACCUUUUCCAUCAGAUCAAAGGUAAAUAUGCAUUUAAACAAACACUGUUUAAAACACUCAGACUCUCAGUCAAAAGGCAUAACAGCACACAAAAGCUAUGCGUCUGCUAGAAAGCUGAAGACGAAGAGGAGUUUCACUUUU